AUAUGCAGUAGACAUACAGGGAAUAUCAGCAUACUUCUUUCCAGGUUGUUUUUUAAUCAUACCUUUGAGCUUAUUAAGCUCGGAAGAGAUUAUAAUGCCAGGAUUUUCAGCAGAAUCAAUAUUCUCAGCAAAAUUAGACUCAAGAUUUUGUACAAAAUCAUCAGAAAUAUUUAGGGGUUGAAUGUUUAAACGAGAGAAUUUUUUAUCUAAGAGUUUCUCUAAUUGGUCUAAUUGAGAAACCUUUUCAAAUCCGUCUAUUUCAGGAGGUCUUUGAAU
rnacentral:lncRNA from 1 species